CUCAGCUGAUUCUCUCCCCACUCCUAUCUCCUCUCAGGCCUCAGCUGAUUUCCAGUGUGCGGCCUGCGGCUGUGCCUUUCCACAGGGCCUUCUGCUGAGCAAACACCAAACAAUGCUUGAAAUGCUGCCCACAUCUGUGAAACUAUAGCUAAUCAAAUUCACGCCUGCAUUGGUUGCCUGGGUAACAAUCAGACAGUUGCUCCUACAAACAAACUGCAAACAGCAGAAGGAAAUGUGCUCUAACUGGAAGCACCUACUUCUCUGAGCUUGAGCUUUACCACAAGCUACUUAUUUCUACAUUAAUCACAUUGUAAAUGGCAUGCCCAGGACUGGAUCAUCUCCUGCAGAUACUGCCAGCAAUGGCCUUCCAGCUACUGCAGUUCCAGCUUUGAACAAAUGUCCUGAAGCUGUUGACUCUGGUGGCUGUUGCUGAUGUGUGUUUCCAUAUCGAGUCAGAUACAGAGGAAAAUGCACCACAAAAAGUUGUGAACAAGAGCAAAGAAAUAACAAACGUGCCGUAAUAGCAAGAACAGCCCUCAAGUCCCCAGUAUUAGAGCAUCCACCAUAUCAGCCUCUGCUGAACCUAGAGGGAUUUGCUAUGUAAGAUGAAGAAACUGUCAUACGUACUUACAGAAAUCAGUAACAUACUGAAGUAUUAGAAUUUUUAAGGACUGCUAUUUGUAAUCUGUUUUUUAUUCCAACUCUGGAAAAAUUGUGGGCAAUCUUCAAUUUCAUAAAAAUUUUCCCUACAGGCUUUUACAUACAUAUCAAC